rnacentral:rRNA from 1 species
ACUCCUACGGGAGGCAGCAGUGGGGAAUAUUGCACAAUGGGCGCAAGCCUGAUGCAGCAACGCCGUGUGAGUGAAGAAGGUUUUCGGAUCGUAAAACUCUGUCCUAAGGGAAGAAACAAAUGACGGUACCUUAGGAGGAAGCCCCGGCUAACUACGUGCCAGCAGCCGCGGUAAUACGUAGGGGGCAAGCGUUAUCCGGAAUCACUGGGCGUAAAGGGUGCGUAGGCGGCUUAGCAAGCCAGGGGUGAAAGGCAUUGGCUCAACCAAUGUAAGCCUUUGGAACUGUUAAGCUUGAGUGCAGGAGAGGUAAGUGGAAUUCCUAGUGUAGAGGUGAAAUUCGUAGAUAUUAGGAGGAACACCAGUGGCGAAGGCGACUUACUGGACUGUAACUGACGCUGAUGCACGAAAGCGUGGGUAGCGAACAGGAUUUGAUACCCUGGUAGCACAGAG